UACAUGUGGGGCAAGCGUUGUUCGGAAUUACUGGGCGUAAAGCGUACGUAGGCGGCUUUGCAAGUUAGAGGUGAAAGCCUGGAGCUCAACUCCAGAACUGCCUUUAAAACUGCAUCGCUUGAAUCCAGGAGAGGUGAGUGGAAUUCCGAGUGUAGAGGUGAAAUUCGUAGAUAUUCGGAAGAACACCAGUGGCGAAGGCGGCUCACUGGACUGGUAUUGACGCUGAGGUACGAAAGCGUGGGGAGCAAACAGGGA
rnacentral:rRNA from 1 species